GAAACUGAUGGAAGGCUGCAGAGAGCUCGUGGACCUGGGAAAGAUUAGGCCCAGCUGGAGGGGUUUAAGGAAAUCUCCAGGCGGCUUCGGCAGAGAAGCUCUGAAAAGGGACUGCCUCUGGCUAGAGAGAGUUUAAUCUUUAUAGGUGUGCUGACACUUUUUUUGACUUUGUUUUUUUUGUAGCCAGGGAAGAGCAGAGACUUUAAUACUAUUGCUUCCCUUCGCCUGGCCGCUUUUAUUCUUCUUCCUGCUGUUUGACUUCUCUUCCCGCUUUUGGAGAAAGACUUGGCAGAGGAGAGCUCCCCUAGGCAUCUCCAGACCGGCGACCGUUGAUGUGCCCAGCGAUGUUUGUGGUAAUGACCAUACCUGAUGCGUUCCCAUUACCAGCAAGUGGACUAGAUUUGCAAUGUCUGCUACAUCUUCAAUAUCUAUAAUAAUCAGAAUAUCUGCCAACUCCUUCAGAUCUCUGUCAAAUGGAAAAACUUCUUCAUGAACUACCUGAAACUACAGAAAAACUUUGCGGCCUCUUCAUACAACUACUAUUAAUUAUGCCUCCUAUGUACUUUUAAAAGCCCGGAUAACAUAGGUUACUGCCAUGGCAGAAAUAAAUAACCAUUAAGCCUACUAAUUGUUGUUAUCAGGCAUAGUACAACCCUGAAGUUAAUAAGAGUGUUACUAAUUAAAUGUGA